rnacentral:rRNA from 1 species
UUUUGGACAAUGGGCGCAAGCCUGAUCCAGCAAUGCCGCGUGAGUGAAGAAGGCCUUCGGGUUGUAAAGCUCUUUUGUCAGGGAAGAAACGGUGAGCUCUAAUACAGUUUGCUAAUGACGGUACCUGAAGAAUAAGCACCGGCUAACUACGUGCCAGCAGCCGCGGUAAUACGUAGGGUGCAACCGCUUCCCCCGGAAUUACUGGGCGUAAAGCGUGCGCAGGCGGUAAUGUAAGUCAGAUGUGAAAUCCCCGGGCUCAACCUGGGAAUGGCAUUUGAGACUGCAUGGCUAGAGUGUGUCAGAGGGGGGUAGAAUUCCACGUGUAGCAGUGAAAUGCGUAGAGAUGUGGAGGAAUACCGAUGGCGAAGGCAGCCCCCUGGAUAACACUGACGCUCAUGCACGCAC